GAUGAACGCUGGCGGCGUGCCUAAUACAUGCAAGUCGAGCGAACAGACGAGGAGCUUGCUCCUCUGACGUUAGCGGCGGACGGGUGAGUAACACGUGGAUAACCUACCUAUAAGACUGGGAUAACUUCGGGAAACCGGAGCUAAUACCGGAUAAUAUAUUGAACCGCAUGGUUCAAUAGUGAAAGACGGUUUUGCUGUCACUUAUAGAUGGAUCCGCGCCGCAUUAGCUAGUUGGUAAGGUAACGGCUUACCAAGGCAACGAUGCGUAGCCGACCUGAGAGGGUGAACGGCCCAAACGGAAACGGAAAAAGGGCCAAGAUCCUAAGGGAGGCAACAGGAGGGAAACUUUCGGAAAGGGCGGAAGCCUGAAGGAGCAAAGGCGGGGGGGGGAUGAAGGGCUUCGGAACGGAAAAAUCUGUUAAUAAGGAAAAAAAAAAGGGGAAAGAAAUAAGCAAGGCUUGAAGGGAACUAAUCAGAAAGCCACGGCUAACUACGUG
rnacentral:rRNA from 1 species